rnacentral:rRNA from 1 species
UGCAGAGGGUGCAAGCGUUGUUCGGAAUCAUUGGGCGUAAAGGGCGCGUAGGCGGUUGUGCAAGUCAAAUGUGAAAGCCCAGGGCUCAACCUUGGAAGUGCAUCUGAAACUGCGCAACUAGAGUCUCGGAGAGGGUGGUAGAAUUCCCAGUGUAGAGGUGAAAUUCGUAGAUAUUGGGAGGAAUACCGGUGGCGAAGGCGACCGCCUGGACGAAGACGUGACGCUGAGGCGGCGAGAGCGUGGGGAGCAAACAGG